rnacentral:rRNA from 1 species
CCUACGGGAGGCUGCAGUGAGGAAUAUUGGUCAAUGGGCGCGAGCCUGAACCAGCCAAGUAGCGUGAAGGAUGACUGCCCUACGGGUUGUAAACUUCUUUUAUAAAGGAAUAAAGUGAGGCACGUGUGCCUUUUUGUAUGUACUUUAUGAAUAAGGAUCGGCUAACUCCGUGCCAGCAGCCGCGGUAAUACGGAGGAUGCGAGCGUUAUCCGGAUUUAUUGGGUUUAAAGGGGGCGCAGGCGGAUUUUUAAGUCAGCGGUCAAAUGGUGGGGCUAAACCCCAUCCCGCCGUUGAAACUGGGGAUCGAGUGUGUGCGAGAGGUAUGCGGAAUGCGUGGUGUAGCGGUGAAAUGCAUAGAUAUCACGCAGAACCCCGAUUGCGAAGGCAGCAUACCGGUGCACAACUGACGCUCAGGCACGAAAGCGUGGGUAUCGAACAGGAUUAGAUACCCUUGUAGUC